UACGGGGGGGGCGAGCGUUGUCCGAAGUUACUGGGCGUAAAGCGCGUGUAGGCGGGUUGUUAAGUCCGCUGUGAAAGCCCGGUGCUCAACGCCGGAGGGUCGGUGGAUACUGGCAGUCUUGAAGUGGCUAGGGGGAAAUGGAAUUACCGGUGUAGCGGUGAAAUGCGUAGAUAUCGGUAGGAACACCAGUGGCGAAGGCGGCUCCUGGAGCCCACUUGACGCUGAGACGCGAAAGCUGGGGGGAGCAAACAGG
rnacentral:rRNA from 1 species